rnacentral:rRNA from 1 species
ACGCACGCUGGCGGCGUGCUUAACACCUGCCAGUCGCACGGAAAGGCCCUGCUUUUGUGGGGUGCUCGAGUGGCGAACGGGUGAGUAACACGUGAGUAACCUGCCCUUGACUUUGGGAUAACUUCAGGAAACUGGGGCUAAUACCGGAUAGGAGCUCCUGCUGCAUGGUGGGGGUUGGAAAGUUUCGGCGGUUGGGGAUGGACUCGCGGCUUAUCAGCUUGUUGGUGGGGUAGUGGCUUACCAAGGCUUUGACGGGUAGCCGGCCUGAGAGGGUGACCGGCCACAUUGGGACUGAGAUACGGCCCAGACUCCUACGGGAGGCAGCAGUGGGGAAUAUUGCACAAUGGGCGGGAGCCUGAUGCAGCAACGCCACGUGCGGGAUGACGGCCUUCGGGUUGUAAACCGCUUUCGCCUGUGACGAAGCGUGAGUGACGGUAAUGGGUAAAGAAGCACCGGCUAACUACGUG